CCCUCUUCCGCCUCCUUUCAUCUAUCAAAUUUCUGCAACCUCUGCUCUUCUCCAAUGGAGCUGAAUUUUAGACACCCUAUAGUUCUUGAGCAUAUGAACAACUUUCAAGAAGGAACCAUUUCUUUUUGAGCGACGGAAAUUACAGUGUUGAAGCUCCAAACAUGACAGUCGGAUUCUUGCAGAUUUCGAAGCUGCUGUGAUGUUUCGAAGAUCUGGAAGUAUUUAACCAUUAGUUCAUUCUGAAUUUUUGAUAUGUUAUGAAAGAGACGAUGAGGAACAACUUAAAUGAAGAAAGCAUGCCGAUCUGAACAAUAGAAAAUGGAGUUUCGAAGCUCACAACAAAUCUGACGGGUUGACAGAAAAAUAAUAACCAGUCAUUCAUCAUACCUGGAUUUCUGGAGUUAUACUGCUCCGAGGGAUCUCAAAUUUGGAUAUGUUGUAGUUCACAAGCUGAGGAACAACUUCAAUGAAGAAAGUAUGCUGAUCUGAGCAAGAGAAAAUGGAGUUUCGAAGCUCACAACAAAUCUGACGGGUUGACAGAAAAAUAAUAACCAGUCAUUCAUCAUACCUGGAUUUCUGGAGUUAUACUGCUCCGAGGGAUCUCAAAUUUGGAUAUGUUGUAGUUUCACAAGCUGAGGAACAACUUCAAUGAAGAAAGCAUGCUGAUCUGAGCAAGAGAAAAUAGAGUUUCAAAGCUCACAACAACUCUGACGGGUUGACAGACAAAUGAUAAACAGUCACUCAUCAUACCUGGAUUUCUGGAGUUAUACUGCUCCGAGGGACCUCAAAUUUGGAUAUGUUGUAGUUCACAAGUUAAGGAACAACUUCGAUGAAGAAAGUAUGUUGAU
rnacentral:lncRNA from 1 species